AGUCUCAGUUGUUUGACGGCUAGCUUUUCAUAGUAAGUAGUUUGCAAUUGUUGACAAUAGAGAUCUGUCGUAAUCAUCUGGCCAGAUCUUCGGAAGCUAUAGUGUAUGAUACCAGCACUGGUCUCCACACAGCACCAAAACUCAUCUUUAAUUUCUCACUGACAACUAGGAUCUCCGACCGUCCACGGAGUUUGUUUUGUUGGUCAAAAUAACGAGAACGAGAGUUUCCAGAACGAAAACGUUGGGCCAAAAAACGUACCUACCGUGCUUUCUUUUACAGUAGCUUCCCUUAUACACACCAUUAAUCUGAAACAGCCAUUAAUUUAGGUACCUAAUAUAGGUAGGUAGCCUGAAUUAGUG